rnacentral:rRNA from 1 species
GUGGGGAAUAUUGGACAAUGGGGGGAACCCUGAUCCAGCCAUGCCGCGUGUGUGAAGAAGGCCUUUUGGUUGUAAAGCACUUUAAGCGAGGAGGAGGCUACCGAGAUUAAUACUCUUGGAUAGUGGACGUUACUCGCAGAAUAAGCACCGGCUAACUCUGUGCCAGCAGCCGCGGUAAUACAGAGGGUGCUAGCGUUAAUCGGAUUUACUGGGCGUAAAGCGCGCGUAGGUGGCCAAUUAAGUCAAAUGUGAAAUCCCCGAGCUUAACUUGGGAAUUGCAUUCGAUACUGGUUGGCUAGAGUAUGGGAGAGAAUGGUAGAAUUCCAGGUGUAGCGGUGAAAUGCGUAGAGAUCUGGAGGAAUACCGAUGGCGAAGGCAGCCAUCUGGCCUAAUACUGACACUGAGGUGCGAAAGCAUGGGGAGCAAACAGGAUUAGAAACCCCUGUAGUCC